UUCCGGUUGAUCCUGCCAGAGGUUACUGCUAUCGAGGUUCGACUAAGCCAUGCGAGUCGAAUGUAGCAAUACAUGGCGUACUGCUCAGUAACACGUGGACAACCUGCCCUUAGGACGGGUAUAAACCCGGGAAACUGGGUAUAAUUCCCGAUAGAUCUCGUCUGCUGGAAUGCAUCGAGAUCCAAAGCUCCGGCGCCUAAGGAUGGGUCUGCGGCCUAUCAGGUAGUAGUGGGUGUAGCGUACCUACUAGCCUACGACGGGUACGGGUUGUGAGAGCAAGAGCCCGGAGAUGGAUUCUGAGACACGAAUCCAGGCCCUACGGGGUGCAGCAGGCGCGAAAACUUUACAAUGCUGGGAACAGCGAUAAGGGAACCUCGAGUGCCAGGUUACAAAUCUGGCUGUCGUGAUGCCUAAAAAGCAUUAUAUAGCAAGGGCCGGGCAAGACCGGUGCCAGCCGCCGCGGUAACACCGGCGGCUCGAGUGGUAACCGUUAUUAUUGGGUCUAAAGGGUCUGUAGCCGGCCGGAUAAGUCUCUUGGGAAAUCUGGCAGCUCAACUGUCAGGCUUUCAGGGGAUACUGUCUGGCUCGAGGCCGGGAGAGGUGAGAGGUACUUCAGGGGUAGGGGUGAAAUCUUGUAAUCCUUGAAGGACCACCAGUGGCGAAGGCGUCUCACCAGAACGGACCUGACGGCAAGGGACGAAAGCUAGGGGCACGAACCGGAUUAGAUACCCGGGUAGUCCUAGCCGUAAACGAUACUCGCUAGGUGUCGGCCACGGUGCGACCGUUGUCGGUGCCGUAGGGAAGCCGUGAAGCGAGCCACCUGGGAAGUACGGCCGCAAGGCUGAAACUUAAAGGAAUUGGCGGGA
rnacentral:rRNA from 1 species